rnacentral:lncRNA from 1 species
CAUUCCCAAACAUUCAACUCUACACAAUUUCCCUUUCUUUGAUCCCUAUUUUUUUUUCUUUUUCUUAUUACAUCCACACAACCAUGAGCAUUUUCUUUUUUCUUUCUUAUUCUUUUCUUUGUCAUGCGUUUCAAGGUGAUUUCUUUUUCUUGUUUCUUUUCAUAUUUUCACCCUUUCAUAAAAACUCACUUUUCCAAGUUUCUAAUCACAUCUUUUUACUUUACUCUCCCCAACUUUAGAU